UACGGGGGGGUGCGAGCGUUGUCCGGAAUCACUGGGCGUAAAGGGCGCGUAGGUGCCGCUGAUAAGGGUGUGGUGAAAGUCCCGGGGGCUCAACCCCCGGAUCUGCCGGUGCCGACUGUUAGGCUAGAGUACUGUAGGGGCAGGCGGAAUUCCGGGUGUAGCGGUGGAAUGCGUAGAGAUCCGGAGGAAGACCGGUGGCGAAGGCGGCCUGCUGGGCAGUUACUGACACUGAGGCGCGACAGCGUGGGGAGCAAACAGG
rnacentral:rRNA from 1 species